UACGUAGGAUGCAAGCGUUAAUCGGAAUUACUGGCGUAAAGCGUGACGCAGGCGGUUAUGCAAGACAGAUGUGAAAUCCCCGGGCUCAACCCUGGGAACUGCAUUUGUGACUGCAUAGCUGGAGUGCGGCAGAGGGGGAUGGAAUUCCGCGUGUAGCAGUGAAAUGCGUAGAUAUGCGGAGGAACACCGAUGGCGAAGGCAAUCCCCUCGGGCCUGCACUGACGCUCAUGCACGAAAGCGUAGG
rnacentral:rRNA from 1 species